AGCAGCCGCGGUAAUUCCAGCUCCAAUAGCGUAUAUUAAAGUUGUUGCAGUUAAAAAGCUCGUAGUUGAAUUUCGGGGUUCUACCGUUGGUCGGGCUUUGUCUGUACUGGCGUGUAGAAUUUCUACCUUCUGGGGAACUAUCAUGUUAUUAAUUUAACGUGGUGGGAAACCAGGACCUUUACCUUGAAAAAAUUAGAGUGUUCGAAGCAGGCUUAUGUCUGAAUACAUUAGCAUGGAAUAAUAAAAUAGGACGGUGGUUCUGUUUUGUUGGUUUCUGAAUCACCGUAAUGAUUAAUAGGGAUAGUUGGGGGCAUUAGUAUUCAAUUGUCAGAGGUGAAAUUCUUGGAUUUAU
rnacentral:rRNA from 1 species